GCCCACCCCCAGCACCAGGUGUGGCCACUAGCCUAUAUGAAGGCCCAAAAUUGUGUGUUCCUUUCUGCUCUGACAAUGGCAUGCCCAUUCGUGCGAGAUGUGGUGGAUGAAGAAGCACUUGUGCUGAGGAGAGCCUUCAGGCGAGAAAGGGUCUUCAGGGACCGGUUGGACCCACUGGCCUUCCCUGAUGACCAUCUAUAUGAAAGAUACAGGUUUUCUGCAGAUGGCAUCAGGUAUCUAUGCAGACUACUGGGUCCCAGGAUUAAGCACCGCACUGCACGGAGCCAUGCACUGAGUGUGGAGCAAAUGGUUUGUGUGGCCUUGCGCUUUUUUGCUAGUGGAGCCUUCCUGUACUCAGUGGGGGAUGCUGAACAAGGCCACAAUUUGCCGCACAAUAAGGAGUGUGUGUCUGGCUAUCAAAGCAUUAGCAGAUGUCUUCAUCUCCUUCCCUGGCCACAGAAGACUCUGUGACAUCAAAGAGGAGUUCUAUAGGAUUGCAGAUGGUCUGCAAUGCUGACUGUGUGAUCAGCAAUGUUGUGGCAAAAUGGCCUGGCUCAGUCCAUGACUCCAGAAUCUUUCGGGCCUCUGAAAUCUAUCAGUGCCUAUCACAAGGUGAAUUCUCUGGUGUGUUGCUGGGAGACAGGGGUAUGGCUGCCAGCCUUUUCUCCUGACACCUUUCACAGACCCCCAGGAAGCACAGCAGGCCUACAACCAUGCCCAUGCCAGGACCAGGGCCAGAGUUGAAAUGACCUUUGGCCUCCUGAAGGCACGCUUUCACUGCCUUCACAAAUUAAGGGUCAGCCCUGUUAGGGCAUGUGAUAUUACUGUGGCUUGUGCUGUCCUCCACAAUGUGGCCUGCCUGAGGAAGGAGAGGGCCCCCAGAGUGCCACCAGCCAUGGACUGGGACAAUCCGGCAAUCUUCCCUGAUGACGACAGUGGUCGGCUGCUGGAGGGACCAAUAUGUGUUGAAUUAUUUUAGUUAGUAUGUGUGCUUUCAAUUUUGGUUAAAUAUGUCCUGCGGUGGCAGAGGAAUUUGGGUUUUUUUGGGUUCGUUUUUGACGAAUUUGGCCUCUUAUGAUGUUUGUGCGGUAUACUGUGUGUAAUACAAGGCUGCAGGGAGGCUACUGCAUCCAUUCAUUUGUCUGUUCAGUUGAUGUGUAUGGAUUUGUCCUGCAUUUAUUUUAGUGUGCAGACAUGCAGGGUGUGUUAUAUACAGACCUUUGAAUGUGUAUGUAUCAUUUUGUAUAAUAUGCUUGGAUUCUGUGCUUUCCAUCUUGUAGAGUCACUGUGACUUCAGUUUCGAAAGGAGCUGAUGGUUUACCUGCUUUGUUUUGUCCUUAUUCAAUAAAGGAACAUAAUGUUACACAUUGUGUUUUUAUAUUCAUAUGGAAUGUGUCUUUGUUUAUAUGACAGAGUACUAGGGCCACACUGAAGAAAAAGGAUAAAGUCAUACAUUUAUGAGGCUGGUUCUUUCUGCAGAAAAGCUACAUAUUGUUUUUACAGUUUUGAUACUUAUGACAAUGUGAUACUUAAUAUUCUGGCACAUCAGCAUGUCUUUGUUUAUGAAACCAUACUGAAGUACAAUUUCACGAAAUGCCCCACAUCUGUCCUCCUUUAAAACAACUGGUUACAAUA